UGUGAACUCGAAGAGUAGGGCGGGACACGUGGUAUCCUGUCUGAAUAUGGGGGGACCAUCCUCCAAGGCUAAAUACUCCUGACUGACCGAUAGUGAACCAGUACCGUGAGGGAAAGGCGAAAAGAACCCCGGCGAGGGGAGUGAAAAAGAACCUGAAACCGUGUACGUACAAGCAGUGGGAGCACCUUCGGGUGUGACUGCGUACCUUUUGUAUAAUGGGUCAGCGACUUAUAUUCUGUAGCAAGGUUAACCGUAUAGGGGAGCCGCAGGGAAACCGAGUCUUAACUGGGCGUUAAGUUGCAGGGUAUAGACCCGAAACCCGGUGAUCUAGCCAUGGGCAGGUUGAAGGUUGGGUAACACUAACUGGAGGACCGAACCGACUAAUGUUGAAAAAUUAGCGGAUGACUUGUGGCUGGGGGUGAAAGGCCAAUCAAACCGGGAGAUAGCUGGUUCUCCCCGAAAGCUAUUUAGGUAGCGCCUCGUGAACUCAUCUUCGGGGGUAGAGCACUGUUUCGGCUAGGGGGUCAUCCCGACUUACCAACCCGAUGCAAACUACGAAUACCGAAGAAUGUUAUCACGGGAGACACACGGCGGGUGCUAACGUCCGUCGUGAAGAGGGAAACAACCCAGACCGCCAGCUAAGGUCCCAAAGUCAUGGUUAAGUGGGAAACGAUGUGGGAAGGCACAGACAGCCAGGAUGUUGGCUUAGAAGCAGCCAUCAUUUAAAGAAAGCGUAAUAGCUCACUGGUCGAGUCGGCCUGCGCGGAAGAUGUAACGGGGCUAAACCAUGCACCGAAGCUGCGGCAGCGACACUAUGUGUUGUUGGGUAGGGGAGCGUUCUGUAAGCCUGCGAAGGUGUGCUGUGAGGCAUGCUGGAGGUAUCAGAAGUGCGAAUGCUGACAUAAGUAACGAUAAAGCGGGUGAAAAGCCCGCUCGCCGGAAGACCAAGGGUUCCUGUCCAACGUUAAUCGGGGCAGGGUGAGUCGACCCCUAAGGCGAGGCCGAAAGGCGUAGUCGAUGGGAAACAGGUUAAUAUUCCUGUACUUGGUGUUACUGCGAAGGGGGGACGGAGAAGGCUAUGUUAGCCGGGCGACGGUUGUCCCGGUUUAAGCAUGUAGGCUGGUUAUCCAGGCAAAUCCGGAUAA
rnacentral:rRNA from 1 species